rnacentral:lncRNA from 1 species
AUUGCUUCAUGACAAGAGGUUCCAUGCUGACAGCAUCUGGGGAAACCUCGCUGGGCCUUGGAGGUCCUUCCUAUGGGUGAUAUGCCACCCACCCUGGGUCGAGAGUCAGAGAAGCGCGGCCGGUCCCACUGCUGGCUUCGCCUGCCUGUUUCCCACAGCUUCCCUCUAGUCAUCCACCUACACCUGCUGCCCAGUUCCCUAGAAACCUGCCUAGUGUAAAAGGAAGCAACUCUGGAGAACAGAAUGAGAAAUCAGAAAGCAAGGCCCUGUCCUCUGAGUUCUCUCCUGGAUGGGGACUGAGGAAGUUUUAUGUGGUCCAGAGAGGCUGCAUCAGUCUCAGGCCCCUAAGCCUUGCCUGGUUCAACAGUAUUAUUUCACUCACGCUGGUCACCCCAUUGUUAGAAAGAGCAAGGAAAGGAGGAUGAGAAAGGAAGAGAAGGAGGGAGAAAAUUGUCCCCAAGAAAAGGAAACUAUUGUCUGGUAAGAUUCAACCCACUUUUCUUGUUAAAUGAUGUGAAUUCAAAUUGUUGAUAUAUAUCACCAACUUGACAUGUGAAACUAUUAUCUCAAAGCAUAUUAUAAAAUACUAUAUAUGAAAACAUUGACAAAUAUACUGUAGUUGAUGAGUACCAGAUAUGAUUAUUGUUCUUUUCAUGUGUGAUUACAGGUGAUGGACAGAUGGUUUCCUCAAUUUAUAU